AGAAGUGUUGGAGAGAUGAGGGGUUAAGAGUUCAUUCGGCUGUCCAGAUGUACCCAAGUACCCUGUUAUUUGGCAAUACAUACAUCUGGGCAACUGAUUGAACUUUUCGCUUCUCUUGACUCAACUGGAGCAUC
rnacentral:precursor_RNA from 7 species